rnacentral:rRNA from 1 species
UGGGGAAUAUUGCGCAAUGGGGGAAACCCUGACGCAGCAACGCCGCGUGAGUGACGAAGGCCUUCGGGUCGUAAAGCUCUGUCGGAGGGGAAGAAACUACCAAUGGCUAACAUCCAUAGGUAUUGACGGUACCCUCAAAGGAAGCACCGGCUAACUCCGUGCCAGCAGCCGCGGUAAUACGGAGGGAGCUAGCGUUGUUCGGAAUUACUGGGCGUAAAGCGUACGUAGGCGGUGACUCAAGUCAGAGGUGAAAGCCUGGAGCUCAACUCCAGAACUGCCUUUGAAACUAGGUCGCUAGAAUCACGGAGAGGUGAGUGGAAUUCCGAGUGUAGAGGUGAAAUUCGUAGAUAUUCGGAAGAACACCAGUGGCGAAGGCGGCUCACUGGACGUGUAUUGACGCUGAGGUACGAAAGCGUGGGGAGCAAACAGGAUUAGAUACCCAAGUAGUCCCUGAGCGGGCUGGCAAGGCGCAU